ensembl:lncRNA
GCUUAAGGCUUCCUGACAUCAGAGCUAGGUGAUCUAGGGGCAUCCCCUGGGCAGCAGUCAUAACAAUCUGAACUCCAAAGGAGUGUAUAGGCUCCUGUCUGGGAGAUAUUAGCAAGCUGUAGGGAUGCAGAGGGAAAGUGUAAAUACACAGGCUUACCUUAUCAGGUGGCCUCUAGGUGUGUGGAAGCCCGCCCCACAUCCAGAAGCUCCAGGACAGAAAGCCUGGGGGUGCGAUUCAGUCCAAUGUCCAUGCAGUGCCCCAGGGUGGCCACCUGCCAGGGAUCCAGCCCUCCAGGCCACCAGAGCCAGGCCAUCAAGGUGUGUCCCCUGAGCAGCUGUCACAGAGACCACGGCACCAGGCUUUUACAAAUGCUCCCCGUUGGGAGGUCCUGGCGCUCUGGAGACAGCGCCCAUCCUCCAAGGUCUUCAGACAGGGUGAAACUCAGCCCUGAGAUGUGUGUUUAAUUAGAAGCCUGCCCUUCAGGCAUGAAGCUCAGUGGAUUAGCUAAUAGGCCACUGUCACAGAAAGCCUAAACACAGGGCCUGUGGCCCUCUGGCCGUGCCCUGGAGGUGGCAGCCGUCCAUUUAAUAACUCUUUCACUGUGAGUGACCGUCCUGUGGGACCCAAGCAUGGAAGCCCCGUAGUCAUCAGAGCCAAGAGAUAUUCAGGAGUCUCAGGGCAGCAGUUGCUGGUAACCCCACCCCGCUGCAUGCAGAAGCUUUGGCGGAGGAGCACACUGCAGAAGGAGGACCGUGGUGGGAGCUAGAGCAUCUGGCUGGAGUCCACCGUCCACCAUUAAGAUGGCGUCCAGCCGCCAGAGUACCACACGAGCAUAAAGAUGGUGCCUGCCAGUGUUCGACCCACAGAACACUUCCGCCUGCCUCCAAAUGUCUGUCAAAUCAGAACCUGUCCUCCAGUUCGAUGCUCCAAGACCAGCAAAUGAGCCUCUCCCACAAAGUCCAUCCGCCGCUUGGCGCUGGUCCUGAGGCAGCUGAUUUCUUAGACAUCUUGGAACAUCAGUUCUCAACUAAGAGAGCCUGAAUAGGCCUUGGAGAAAACUUCAUCCAAACCCUGAUUUUACAAGUGAGAACCUGAGGCCCAGAGAGAUGAGUGAUGGUACCAGCCUAAGGGACUCACAUGUGACUUUUCUGCCAGCAAAUGAUGCACUGAACCAUGUCAUUUGGAUGAAAUAACAG